AUUAGUUGCUUUAGCAGAGUAUCAAUCAUUUUUUGUGUCAAUACAAACCUCAUUUCCCUCUUCCCAAUAUUAAUUUAUAAAUAGGACCUUUAUAUGACAUAGUUUUUGAGGCUAUGAGGACUUGCCAUACAAUAACUGAUGUAUUCUGAAAAGCUCCUUAUGCUGGAUCUUUUAUUUUCUUGCAUUUUUUGAAUAAAAAUCUGAAAUCCGUCUCUGUGCAGUAAGGCUUAUUUAAUUGAAACAAGAAAUAUUUAAGUUAUUGUGAAAAAUACACAUCAUAACACAUGUAGCAAUACAUGCAGACAAAACAAUAUCCAGUAAGGCCAACACUGACAUCUUUCUCCCAAAAAGAAGAAAUAGGUCAUUGCACUUCGUAAGUGAAAAAGAUUUAAUGUCAGUCUGUCAGGGAAGUACAUAAGGUGCAACCUAAAUUUUCUUACUAGGUUAACCUCUGAAAACACUACCAUUCUUUGUGACACAGAUCUGUUCUAGAAAAAAAUGUUUAGGCCUCAAACCUGACUGAACUUACAGGCACUUGUUUGGAAUGUGUUUAAUGAACAGCAACCUCUUUCCUUCAGUGCUAAUUGUGUUUCUAUUUUUAUUUAUUAAAGCCAAUUUUUUUAUAUUCUGAGAUACCACUACUGACAAACUCCUGAUUUUAAGGAUAUGCAUGUAAAAAUGGUAUUCUCUGAGAAGGACUGUCUCAGAUUCAGGAGAACAAAGAGAUGGGGAAAGGAGGACACUUAAUAGUUCUAGAACAACUUUAUAAACAGAAUUCAACUGGCAUCAUUGACUGGACAGGAUAUUUUAAUAAAAAUAGUUUUAUCGGUCUGU